rfam:TPA: Bos taurus chromosome 22, whole genome shotgun sequence.
UCCCUGGUGGUCCAGUGGCUAAGACUCUGCAUUCCCAAUGCAGGCGGCCCAGGUUCCACCCCAGGUCGGGGAA